rnacentral:rRNA from 1 species
UACGGGGGGGGGCAAGCGUUGUUCGGAAUUACUGGGCGUAAAGGGCCAGUAGGCGGCCAACUAAGUCGGAUGUGAAAUCCCCAGGCUCAACCUGGGAACUGCGUCCGAUACUGGAUGGCUUGAAUUCGGGAGAGGGAUGCAGAAUUCCAGGUGUAGCGGUGAAAUGCGUAGAUAUCUGGAGGAAUACCGGUGGCGAAGGCGCAUCCUGGACCGGCAUUGACGCUGAGGAGCGAAAGCCAGGGGAGCAAAGCGGG